GCAGGCGCAGGCGCAGACGUGGCUCCACAUAAAUUUUUCCUUGGGCUGGUUUCCUGCAUGUCUUUUAAGUAUUUGCUUUUAGUUUCCGUGUUUUGGUGUUUUGUUUGUUCGUUUUUUUUUUUUUUUUGUUUUUACGACAAUGCCUUCUAGGGGAACAGUGUCGCUGGGCUGGGCGGUGGAGAGACACCUUUGGCACCAUCGUGCGAUCUCAUGCACCCUACCAGUGAUCAACCCUUUGAGUCUGGCUUAGCUCAGGCAGAAAUUGUAGUCUGCAAAAGAAACUGAGAAGAAGAGGGCAAGGAGAGUGUGGCAUCCCAAGACAUAAAGACUCAAAUCAAUGAGAGCAAGCAACUCUGUCAAAUUUCACCAGAAGUGAGGACUAAAUAUUGACUACCGAAUUUUGCAAGGUAGCAUCAUGGCGUCAGGGAGAGAAGCCCACUGUCAGCCAUUCACUAAUUCCUCUGCAGUUUGGGAAAUGAUGCAAAGCCUUGGGUGAUGUGGUUGGCUGCCCUCAGCCCUCUUGGCCCUCAACAUCCCAUGCAGCCCUCUUUACCUUAUUCCUCUGUGCAAGGUUGC
rnacentral:lncRNA from 1 species